AACGAACGCUGGCGGCAUGCCUAACACAUGCAAGUCGAACGAAACCUCCGGGUCUUGUGGCGUAUGAGUGUGUAACGCGUGGGAACCUGCCCUUAGGGUCGGAAUAACUCUCCGAAUGGGGUGCUAAUACCGGAUAAUAUCUUCGGACCAAAGAUUUAUCGCCCUGGGAUGGGCACGCGUUGCAUUAGCUAGUUGGUAAGGUAAAGGCCUACCAAGGCAACGAUGCGUAGCCGGUCUGAGAGGAUGAUCAGCCACACUGGAACUGAGACACGGCCCAGACUCCUACGGGAGGCAGCAGUAGGGAAUCUUCCGCAAUGGGCGAAAGCCUGACGGAGCAACGCCGCGUGAGUGAUGAAGGUCUUCGGAUCGUAAAACUCUGUUAUUAGGGAAGAACAAAUGUGUAAGUAACUAUGCACGUCUUGACGGUACCUAAUCAGAAAGCCACGGCUAACUACGU
rnacentral:rRNA from 1 species